UACGAAGGGUGCUAGCGUUGUUCGGAAUCACUGGGCGUAAAGCGCGCGUAGGCGGCCAAUCAAGUCAGGGGUGAAAUGCCGGAGCUUAACUUCGGAACUGCCUUUGAAACUGAUUGGCUGGAAGAUGAGAGGGGAUAGCGGAAUUUCUGGUGUAGAGGUGAAAUUCGUAGAUACCAGAAGGAACACCGGUGGCGAAGGCGGCUAUCUGGCUCAUUCUUGACGCUCUGGCGCGAAAGCGUGGGGAUCAAAC
rnacentral:rRNA from 1 species